rnacentral:rRNA from 1 species
AUACGGAGGGUGCAAGCGUUACUCGGAAUCACUGUGCGUAAAGCGCGCGCAGGCGGUCUUUUAAGUUGGAUGUGAAAGCCUACAGCUCAACUGUAGAACUGCAUCCAAAACUAUUAGACUAGAGUCUGGGAGGGGAAGAUGGAAUUAGUUGUGUAGGGGUAAAAUCCGUAGAGAUAACUAGGAAUACCAAAAGCGAAGGCGAUCUUCUGGAACAGUACUGACGCUGAGGCGCGAAAGCGUGGGGAGCAAACAGGAUUAGAUACCCCGGUAGUCC